rnacentral:rRNA from 1 species
GUGUCAGCAGCCGCGGUAAUACGUACGAGGCAAGCGUUAUCCGGAAUUACUGGGCGUAAAGCGCAUGCAGGCGGGCUGUUAAGUAGGGCGUGAAAUCUCCCGGCCUAACUGGGAGGGGUCGCUCUAAACUGGCAGUCUUGAGGAUGGCAGAGGUAGGUGGAAUUCCUGGUGUAGUGGUGAAAUGCGUAGAGAUCAGGAGGAACACCGGUGGCGAAGGCGGCCUACUGGGCCAUCACUGACGCUGAGAUGCGAAAGCUCGGGGAGCGAACGGGAUUAGAUACCCCAGUAGUCC